rnacentral:lncRNA from 1 species
GAUUUGAAGCACACAUGGCCGCUGAAUAGCCAUUACUUCCACUUACUUCACACCAACCUAUAUCUUGUUGGAUAGCAUUGACUAUGGCUGUAGGUUGUGCUGCUCCCAAUUUUAUGUUGCUAAACUGAGUGUUGAUCAAAUUUUGUAAUGCAAAAAAUUGUGUUGGUAAGGCUGUGAAUUGGUCCACCUUUAGUACACCCGCA